AGCAGCUGCAGCCUUGGACUUCUGGUUGGGUCUCAAACAGCAUGGGGUGGAGUUUACGCGGACAAAGUCUGCCACGUACUUUGCAGCUAUGGCAGCAGAUAAACUUAAGGGGAUUAGGACCAGCUUUGUGGACAAGUCCUCCAAAGAACUAAUAAGUCAGCUCCUGGACGACCUGCUGGGGGAUCAAGUCUUCAAUGAUGGGGAGAAAGACUCAAUACUGGAGGAAAACAAGAGCCGUGCAGACAAGGCGCGCGCUCUCAUUGAUUCAGUGUGUAGGAAAGGAGAUAAAGCCAGCCAGAAGAUGAUAGAUCACUUUCAAAAUAGAGAUCCUACACUCUUCUCUGACCUCAAAUUAUCUACCUAGCCAGCUGCUGUGACUUUGGAGGAAAAAUGAUGUGCACUCAUUCCAGCAGCAGCUGCUGCCUUGCGGACUGAAAAAAAAAACAAUAAUCAUGCAUUGUUUUAAACCAGUGUUAUCACAAUAAUUUUCCUCUGCCUUGAUGGUUUUAUUUAUAGCAUGUAUGUGAACUGACUUUUUUCUGCUGAGUUGCAGAGUAGAUUGAUGUGAUAAAGAAAAUGAACUGUUUUGUAAAAGCAUGCCACUAUAACAUGAUAUGACUUGUUUUUUUUUUGUUUGUUUGUUUUUUUCUUUUUCAAUUGUAAAACCUGUCAAUAUGUUCAGGGGCAAAAUUAUAACUUAACUUAGGUUACAUUGCAAGUCUCUUUUUUUGGGUGGAGAGGAGAUUCCAGAUGCAUUUUUGCACUGAAAUGGCAUGGAAAAAAUAGUUUUCAAAGGCCAUACAGAAAAAAAGACAAAAAAAUUACAUUUUCAUACAAGAUCUAGUGAGGGGAGUUUUAGGAAUAUAUGACCAAGUUUGUGACUUUAAAUGCAAAACAAGGUCACUUUACAGACAACUCAAAACUAAGUGAACUGAAAACAGAAACCAGAAACUCAAUGGACAUUUGUCUGGGAAAUAGGGCAGCUGGAACAUGAUGUGUACUGACAGAAUAUAGAGCAAUAUAAUCAAGUAAAUACAUUUAAAAAAUAUAUUUCCUUAAAUUGAAGACUACUCAAUACCAGUCUGGUAUUUUUAUUUUUCCCUAAAAACGAUUUCCUGAAAUAACAUAAAUAAUUCAUCAACUGUUGUGACCCCAACUUAAUUUACCCUGAUUUAUUUUCAGCCGCACGCUCUUAAGUAUCCCAAAACGAUGUACUGUAUGCAGUUUUUGAAGCACUCUUUUCUUUAUGCCAAAUAAAUUAUAGUGUUGCACU